GACGAACCGAGCGAACGUUAUUCGGAAUCACUGGGCUUAAAGGGCGCGUAGGCGGGCCGUCAAGUCAGGGGUGAAAGCCCCCAGCUCAACUGGGGAAGUGCCUUUGAUACUGACGGCCUCGAGGGAGAUAGGGGCGUGCGGAACUUCCGGUGGAGCGGUGAAAUGCGUAGAUAUCUGCAGGAACACCCGUGGCGAAAGCGGCGAGCUGGACCACUACUGACGCUGAAGAACGAAAGCUAGGGGAGCAAACAGG
rnacentral:rRNA from 1 species